GGGCACAUGGUGUAGUUGGUUAUCACGCUCGCUUAGCAUUGACUACCGAUUUGAUUUGCGAGAGGUGUUGGGUUCAAUUCCCAAUGUGUCCA